CAGGGUCCCUCCCGUCGAGUCUGUGGAGUGCUAAGGACACUGGACUCCUGCACUCCAACUUCGAAUGGUCUUUGUUGGGUGAAGACCCUAGUUUCAUGUUAAGCAUCUCUGUGGGUUCCAUCAGGAGUGUACUGACUUCAGUUUCCUUAUCUGCUUGCCUUGCCUUAGUAUAUCUCUUGAUACGAUAGCACACAGUAAACACCUUUUACUGAAGACAUGCCUCGAAAAAGUAGAGAUGAGGAAACAAACCUUAAAGACAGUGACUUUGCUCAAGGUCAGAAGCAAGCGAUGCAACAAGAAUUCAAUCCUGGUUGAAAUGGUAAAUUUCACUUGUAAGUUUUCCAUCACCCUAAAACCUCCUCCUUGGCUUCUGUAUAAUGCGUGUCAGUAUACUACAUUAUUCUAUCAUAUAAUUUGUAUUUUUGUCUAUAUUUUGUUUGUUCUUCCCCACCACCUCCUGUGUCUCAUCUUUACCCCCCCCACUCCAAACUAGAACUGAAAUGACUUUAAAUUAUUCUAAUUUUCUUACCAAACUAUACACAAACCUAUUAUUUCCAGGCUUCGUGGUGCUGAUGUUGGUGGUGGAUGCUUGGAGGGAGUUGUGUUAUACAGCUGUAUGGAUGAUAGCAUCAUUGCCGCGUACUGCCGUGUCCGUGGCAGCAUGUAAUUCCGCACAAACAUAGUGAUUUUUUCCCCCUCUGCUUUGAAAAAAGCACACACUCACAAAUUAUCCACUCCAUCACUCCAUUUAUUGUUUCUGGGUUUCAGCUGGAUUUAGGAUCUGAAAUACCAUUUCCAGUCAGUUAUUAAUGACAGAAGAGGGUGUGUUCUCACCAACUGUUUUCCUAUAAUGCUGUAUUUUUAAAUCCCUGACCUGAUACUGUUAUUUUAAGAUUAAGUGGGUUGAACUUACUCAUGGUAUCAUGUCAAAUAGAGUCCUGUGCUCUCUCCUAGGUCAAGAUUAAUUAACACAUGAUAGAAAGUGAAUAAUACACUUGGAAAAUUUUUUCCUAUUUUUUUCUAAGAUGAAUGGAAAGACCCAGCUAGUCUGUAGAAAGAAACUGCUCCAUGGGAUGCCAAGAAAGCUCUCAAAGCCAUUUGUUUUCAACCUACCUGCUUACUGACAUUUCAGAAAAACUAGAAAAGAGCUAGUGUGGUGGCACAAGCCUGAAUCCCAGUACUCUGGAGGCUGAGUCAAGUGGAACUCUGAGUCCCCAGUCAGCCUGGACUAUCUAUCAAGUCCCAGGUCAUCCAGGGCUAGGUAGUGAGACGACAUCAUCAUCAUCAUCAUCAUCAUCAUCAUCAUCAUCAUCAUCAUCAUCAUCAUUAGAAAGGAGUGACAACUUUCUGGGCUGCAGCAACUUUGAUCGUCGAUUUUACAUUCCAACGAACUCUCACUAUCCCCAAUUUCAACCCGAAGACAUUUAGUUCAGGAGUGAGUAGCUGUCAAUGGUAACAAUUCAUGUCAGGCUACACCUUCUUACCUCAUAAUGUAGCCGCCUCUUUCAUUUAGAUGACAUUUGUGACAUUAAUUUAUGACUCAGCCCACACAUCAAAGGGAAAUGAUCUAUGUUGGUAAAACAGUACUUCUAAGAAUAAAAGGAAAAGCCCACACCUCUGCUUCUGGCAAUGAGAGGCGUCUCUGCUUAUAUUAAUGAAGACACUCCUUUACAAAGAUCAAUAUAGAUCCCAUUGCAUUCUUUUUAGCAAGGGAGCGUUGUCAGAGCCUGCUGGCAGCAGUGGUAGGAUCUCAAGCAGCUGUGUAGGUGGGCUUGCCGAUGUCACUCCGCUUCCUUUUCUCCUCACACCUCCAAGUCCAUUCCAUUGCAUUUUUAUCUAACGGAAAAUGUGGUGAGACCUGUCACAUUCUCAGACUCUCAGAGUCGUUUUCUACAUUCGAUUGGUUUUUCUCGGGCCACCUGAUAAUCCUUCCCUGCUCUUAACAUAGUUUGUUCUUUAUUCUC